rnacentral:rRNA from 1 species
UACGGGGGGGGCAAGCGUUGUUCGGAAUUACUGGGCGUAAAGGGCUCGUAGGCGGCCAACUAAGUCGGAUGUGAAAUCCCCAGGCUUAACCUGGGAACUGCAUCCGAUACUGGAUGGCUUGAAUCCGGGAGAGGGAUGCAGAAUUCCAGGUGUAGCGGUGAAAUGCGUAGAUAUCUGGAGGAAUCCCGGUGGCGAAGGCGGCAUCCUGGACCGGCAUUGACGCUGAUGAGCGAAAGCUAGGGGAGCAAACGGG